UUAGAUAAUUUUAAAAAUGCGCUAUUGUGCACUUUAUUAAUGACAAUUCAGUAGUAAUUAUACCAUUGAUGUAAAUUGUCAUUAUGAGUUUAUGUUACUGGCUUCCUUUUGUGUUAGUGGAUUAAAAAGUUCUAUAAAAAAAAGUUAGAAGAGCUUGAAUCAUUUCAGGAAAAUCUGCCAGGAAAUCAUGAAAAGCUUGCCAAUAUUUAAAACAAAAGGAGACAUGAAAUCUUAAUGAAGAUCAUGAUAAACAAUCUAUAUCAAAAAAGUGCAGAAAGAGUUAUUUAUCAUAUAAUGAAGAACAUAAUAAGACAAUUACACAAUACUUAUAUGUCCGAUUGUUCCUACAGGACUGACAAACUCUUUAGUUAAAUCAGUUUUUCAACCUAACAAGCUUAAAUCUCAUCCCAGGCUCAGAAAUACCAAAAGUACAGCUGAACUAUUUCAGGGGACAAUAUCCAAAACAGUUUUAAUAGACUACUCUUCAAGUGAGAGUAAAACAAUGAAUUCAUCAGGUUGUAAAUGCAUUGAAGAGAUUAAAAAUAUCAGGUCAACCUGACGACAAAGCCGCUUAUAAAUCAAUUUCCUCAAAAUUUUCUCAUGCUAUUAAAACAUAUCAUGCAGCAAAAGAACUAAAGAUGAUAUGCAAAAACGAUCUUGGUUGUUUCUUUAAUAUUGCAUAUAAUAAACUUAAAACGAUUAGUAAACUGACUGAGAUUUGUCGAUCGGAUAAUACUUUUUCACAAAAUAAAGAAAAUAUAUCGGGUACUUUUAAUGAAUUUUUUGCACAUGAUUAUAUGUUGAUAACGGUUCAUCGCCAAAGUUUAUGGAUUGUAUUCAUGUAAGUACAACUUGCCUGCCAUCGAUAAACUUCUCUCCUUUUACUGUAUAAAAACAUUCAGAUCAAUUAAAACUUACUACAUCUACUGGUCCAGAUAGCAUUCUAAAUGAUCUAUUAAAUCUCUGUGCCAAAAUUUUAGCAGUCCAUUUUUUUUCAUUUGUUUGUUACCUCAUUUAAAUAUGGUGUAUUACCGAUAUGCUGAAAAAUAGCAAAUGUUGUUCCAAUACAUAAAAAGGGACCAACAGUUGAUCCAAGUAAUUAUAGACCUAUCUCAUUGACAUAUACUUGUUGCCGUGUACUGGAAAGAAUUAUUAAUAAUAAAAUGGUUUUAUUCGUAAACGUAGUACUUGCACUAACAUUCUUAAAAGUCUUCAUGACUGGGCUGCGCAACAUUUCUACUGAUAUUGUUUAUUUUGAUUUUUAGAAAGCUUUUGAUUCAGUUCUACAUUCUAAAUUACAAAGGCAUUAAAAAGGUAUAUUUCGAUAUACCUGUUGAGAAUCGGAUUCCUUUUAAAUAGAAUAGUCUGGAUUAAUUUGUUUUAAAUAGACUAGUCUGGAUUGGUUUGUCUAGGGUUAGGGUUAGGGUUAUACAAUACAAGAUUAAGAAUACAACUUUAUUUAGGGUUAUACAAUGCAAGGUUAAGAAUACAACUGAGUGAUUAGAGUUAGUAAACUCUAAUCACUCAGUUGUAUUCUCGUCUGAUUAUUAGCAUAUUUUGCCAUGAUUUCAUUAUUUAUUUAUUUUUUGUGUUUAUUUGUAAUUAGAGUAUUUCAUUUAUUUAGUUUAUUUGUGAUUUGAGUUUUUUUUUUACUGUAUUUUCUUGAUUAAAUUUAUUUUUUCUUUACAUGUUAAUGGGAAAUAAACUGAAAACAAAGUUUAAUUUGACCGGAUCUAAUACAAAACAAGCAAAAGAAUUUGAGUUUCAUAUAUUUACAGAGAAGCAAAAGAAUUUGAAUUUCAUAUAUUUUUAUUCUUUUAUUGGUCACUUGAAGGCAGUUAUACAUCACUUAACUCGAACAUUCGUUUAGUCGAACUGUGUUCCUAGGUCUCCCGGAGGUUUGAGUUAUCGGAAACAUCGUGACAUCGUAAUACUUGUAAAAUAGACGAGUACCUUACUUUAGGCAUGUUUAUAUUUAGUUUUUAUUUAGUAAUUUCAGUUACCCGAUGUUUAAAAAAAACCCAUAAUGCACGAACAUAUAUUGCAGGCUAUUUGAAGUUUGCAUCAUAUCGAUUGGAUAACGGAAAACGUGAUUUGAAUCAAUAUGAAAGUCUGAUGACUGAAGACAAUAAAGACUCAGUUGAUUUUGAUAUCGAUGAUGAAGAAACGAUGAAAUGAUUUUAUCAAGAUUGUUUUAAAAAUUUUUAUUAUGGAUAAUUUUUUGUUUAUAUUAUUAUUAUU